UACGGAGGAUCCGAGCGUUAUCCGGAUUUAUUGGGUUUAAAGGGAGCGUAGGUGGAUUGUUAAGUCAGUUGUGAAAGUUUGCGGCUCAACCGUAAAAUUGCAGUUGAUACUGGCAGUCUUGAGUACAGUAGAGGUGGGCGGAAUUCGUGGUGUAGCGGUGAAAUGCUUAGAUAUCACGAAGAACUCCGAUUGCGAAGGCAGCUCACUGGACUGCAACUGACACUGAUGCUCGAAAGUGUGGGUAUCAAACAGG
rnacentral:rRNA from 1 species